rnacentral:rRNA from 1 species
GACGAACGCUGGCGGCGCGCCUAACACAUGCAAGUCGAACGGAGCUGAGAGAAGCUUGCUUUUCUUAGCUUAGUGGCGAACGGGUGAGUAACGCGUGAGUAACCUGCCCUGGAGUGGGGGACAACAGUUGGAAACGACUGCUAAUACCGCAUAAGCCCACGAUCCGGCAUCGGAUUGAGGGAAAAGGAUUUAUUCGCUUCAGGAUGGACUCGCGUCCAAUUAGCUAGUUGGUGAGGUAACGGCCCACCAAGGCGACGAUUGGUAGCCGGACUGAGAGGUUGAACGGCCACAUUGGGACUGAGACACGGCCCAGACUCCUACGGGAGGCAGCAGUGGGGGAUAUUGCACAAUGGGGGAAACCCUGAUGCAGCGACGCCGCGUGGAGGAAGAAGGUUUUCGGAUUGUAAACUCCUGUCGUUAGGGACGAUAAUGACGGUACCUAACAAGAAAGCCCCGGCUAACUACGUG